UACAGAGGGGGCAAGCGUUGUUCGGAAUUACUGGGCGUAAAGGGCGCGUAGGUGGCCUUCUAAGUUGAACGUGAAAUCCCUGGGCUCAACCCAGGAACUGCGUCCAAGACUGGGAGGCUUGAAUCCGGGAGAGGGAUGCGGAAUUCCAGGUGUAGCGGUGAAAUGCGUAGAUAUCUGGAGGAACACCGGUGGCGAAGGCGGCAUCCUGGACCGGUAUUAACACUGAGGCGCGAAAGCCAGGGGAGCAAACGGG
rnacentral:rRNA from 1 species